AUUGAACGCUAGCGGGAUGCUUUACACAUGCAAGUCGAACGAGUGGCGGACGGGUGAGUAAUAUAUCGGCACGUGCCCAAUCGCCGGGGAUAACUACUCUAAAGAGUGGCUAAUGCCGCUUACUGUUGGAACGGCCGAUAUCGGAUUUGCUAGUUGGUGGGGUAAAGGCUCACCAAGGCAACGAUCCGUAGCUGGUUUGAGAGGACGACCAGCCACACUGGGACUGAGACACGGCCCAGACGCCUACGGGAGGCAGCAGUGGGGAAGUUUGGACAAUGGGGGAAACCCGGAUCCAGCCAUCCCGCGUGUAUGAGAAGGCCGUCGGGUUGUAAAGUACUUUUGGCAGAGAAGCGGUAUCUGCAGAAUAAGCACCGGCUAACUACGUGCCAGCAGCCGCGGUAAUAC
rnacentral:rRNA from 1 species